AGACGGGACCCGCACAAGCGGUGGAUGAUGUGGAUUAAUUCGAUGCAACGCGAAAACCUUACCUACCCUUGACAUGUCCGGAAUCCCGAAGAGAUUUGGGAGUGCUCGCAAGAGAGCCGGAACACAGGUGCUGCAUGGCUGUCGUCAGCUCGUGUCGUGAGAUGUUGGGUUAAGUCCCGCAACGAGCGCAACCCUUGUCAUUAGUUGCCAUCAUUUGUUGGGCACUCUAAUGAGACUGCCGGUGACAAACCGGAGGAAGUGGGGAUGACGUCAAGUCCUCAUGGCCCUUAUGGGUAGGGCUUCACACGUCAUACAAUGGUCGGUACAGAGGGUUGCCAACCCGCGAGGGGGAGCUAAUCCCACAAAGCCGAUCGUAGUCCGGAUCGCAGUCUGCAACUCGACUGCGUGAAGUCGGAAUCGCUAGUAAUCGUGGAUCAGCAUGUCACGGUGAAUACGUUCCCGGGUCUU
rnacentral:rRNA from 1 species